rnacentral:rRNA from 1 species
UACAGAGGGUGCGAGCGUUGUCCGGAAUUACUGGGCGUAAAGAGCUCGUAGGUGGUUUGUCGCGUUGUUCGUGAAAACCUGAGGCUUAACCUUGGGCGUGCGGGCGAUACGGGCAGACUGGAGUACUGCAGAGGAGACUGGAAUUCCCGGUGUAGCGGUGAAAUGUGUAGAGAUCGGGAGGAACACCGGUGGCGAAGGCGGGUCUCUGGGCAAUUCCUGACGCUGAGGCGCGAAAGCGUGGGUAGCAAACGGG